rnacentral:lncRNA from 1 species
AGCUUUACAGUAGUCUUUUAGUAUUGAAACUUACUAUUUCUUUCAAUUAUUCUUAAGAUUCUUUGCAUUUUUGGACUUCAUGAUUGAGUUAUUUUUCAAUUUUGUUUUCCAAUCUUCUGAGUUCUAACAGUUAGGGCUUUUGAAGGGUUUACCUUGAGAUUUGUAUGUUAGUUCAGAAUUUUAAUUUUUUUUGGAAGCUUUUAGUAUAAAGGACCUAGACCAUUGUUGAAAUUGUUGAUGAAGAUAAAUUCCUACUUCUAAUCUCAAAUAGCUGGAGAAUCGCUUGACUAUUAUGUUUAAUAUAAUUCUAACCGAGUUUCUUGAUGAGAUGAUUCUUUUGGAUUUUUUUUAAAUUUAAAAACAGAUAUGCUAUCGAUAGAGUUACUGAGCUCCAAGUCUUUUGACUUGAAGCUAGGGUCUAUUUAUUUAUUUAUUUUUUUUUAAUUUCUUUAUUUCAUCUCAAAUAACAAAUCUUGGUUAUCUAUGUCUAUGGUACAUAUUGAUUUUGCUGUGAGAUGUGAUAUGCAACAUAAUGGCU